UGAAAUAUCAAAAGGAAAUGAUAGAGCAUUAAAACAAGAUUUUCAUCAUAAUGCUUUUUAAUAUUUUAAAAAAUUUUUAAAAUAAUAAAACUGAAAGGUGGGCCCGGCCGGACUUGAACCGGCGACCUCCGCCG
rnacentral:antisense_RNA from 1 species